rnacentral:rRNA from 1 species
ACACGGACCAAGGAGUGCAAGAGAUGCGCAAGUCGUAAGGGUUGUGUUGGGGCUUUCCUCUCGGGGUUGGCCUCACCUGAAAGACCCAUGUGUUUGGAACGGGCGAAGUGAGAGCAAUUCAUGGGUGCGAGAGCCCUGGGGAAACCUGGGGCGCAUCGCUGGCCGAGCCGUAUGGUCACGCUGUGACCGGUUUCGAGUGCGAGCGUAUCUGUUGCGACCCGAAAGAUGGUGAACUAUGCCUGAGGAGGGUGAAGCCAGAGGAAACUCUGGUGGAGGCCCGUAGCGGUUCUGACGUGCAAAUCGAUCGUCGCACUUGGGUAUAGGGGCGAAAGACUAAUCGAACCAUCUAGUAGCUGGUUCCCUCCGAAGUUUCCCUCAGGAUAGCUGGAGCUCGUUCCGAGCAGUUUCGUCGGGUAAAGCGAAUGAUUAGAGGUAUCGGGGUUGAAGUUGCCUCGCCCUAUUCUCAAACUUUAAAUCGGCGAGAAGGGAUUGUCUUGCCUGCCGGAAGACGUCUCUUGAAUGCAGGGGCUCCAAGUGGGCCGUUUUUGGUAAGCAGAACCGGCGAUGCGGGAUGAACCGAACGCUGGGCUAUGGCGCCGGAGUCGACGCUGAGCAGAUACCAGGAAAGGUGUUGGUUGAUCUAGACAGCAGGACGGUGGCCAUGGAAGUCGGAAUCCGCUAAGGAGUGUGUAACAACU